UACGUAGGGUGCGAGCGUUGUCCGGAAUUAUUGGGCGUAAAGAGCUCGUAGGCGGUCUGUCGCGUCGGAUCGUGAAAACUUGGGGCUUAACCCUGAGCUUGCGGUCGAUACGGGCAUGACUGGAGUUCGGCAGGGGAGACUGGAAUUCCUGGUGUAGCGGUGAAAUGCGCAGAUAUCAGGAAGAACACCCGUGGCGAAGGCGGCUCUCUGGAACGCAA
rnacentral:rRNA from 1 species